AGUGAACGCUGGCGGUAGGCCUAACACAUGCGAGUCGAACGGCAGCACAGUAAGAGCUUGCUCUUACGGGUGGCGAGUGGCGGACGGGUGAGGAAUACAUCGGAAUCUACUUUUUCGUGGGGGAUAACGUAGGGAAACUUACGCUAAUACCGCAUACGACCUACGGGUGAAAGCAGGGGAUCUUCGGACCUUGCGCGAUUGAAUGAGCCGAUGUCGGAUUAGCUAGUUGGCGGGAUAAAGGCCCACCAAGGCGACGAUCCGUAGCUGGUCUGAGAGGAUGAUCAGCCACACUGGAACUGAGACACGGUCCAGACUCCUACGGGAGGCAGCAGUGGGGAAUAUUGGACAAUGGGCGCAAGCCUGAUCCAGCCAUACCGCGUGGGUGAAGAAGGCCUUCGGGUUGUAAAGCCCUUUUGUUGGGAAAGAAAAGCAGCAGGUUAAUACCCCGCUGUUCUGACGGUACCCAAAGAAUAAGCACCGGCUAACUUCGUG
rnacentral:rRNA from 1 species